UUACUCUCUACAUUAUUUAGACUCCUUGAGAUAGAAUGUCUGGUAAAACUUUUGUUCUCAAUAUUGUUUGUUAUAUCUAUUAUUUAUUAUUAUUGUUUAUAGUUGUAUUUAGGUUAGUUCUGUCUUAUUUAGACAAAAGGAGGGAGAUGUAGGGAUAAGCCCUCCCCUUGGGGGCGGGCUGCCCUCAGGCGUUUGUUACCGAUAUAUUGGGCGGGCAGAGGCUGCGCGCCCCUUCCCUUCCUCUCCUGUCUCCGCUGGCUACUCCGCUGGAACCUUGGUUUCACCAGACUCCACGGCUGCCUAAGGAGGGAAGCAAUCAAUGGUUUUUUUAUACAGCGGGAUGUACAUGAAAGACAGCAAUGACCAGCACGGCAAGAUAGCCCUAAAGGUACAAAAGUCUCACUCAUAUAUUGGCCGUCACCAAAGCUGUCUUGUGAGACUUAAGGCCACUCAACAGGAGGGAAAUCACAGAUGGUACUAGAAGUUUCGCCAACUACCCAGAGCUGCUGAGGCGUGGAGUUUAGAAGAGAAUCGACUACGAACACUUGCUGGAUCAGCAAGAUUCUUUCCUACAUUCUAAACUGUUUCCUUAUACCCACAGGCAAGCGUAGUUCUUACCCCUCUUCAAAAAAGCCUCUCUUCGACCUUGGAACACUCGGUUCUAAAUGGGUCAUCUUCAUCAAACGCCUCCUCUCAGAGCUCAGGGAAGAGGAGUAGGGAGGAUUGGAAGAGCCAGAGGGAUGGAGGACACCAAGGUGACAGUGUCCUCCAGACGCUACAGGACAACGGCACACACAAACUCACAGACACUAUGGCAGCAUGCACAAGCCUGUGCAGGUCUAAGUCAGGUGGCGUCCAAGCAGUAAGCUGGGGAAGUGGAUACUAUCUCCUAUCCCCAACCAAGACUCUGUCUCCAGUUGACAUCCCUUUGCAAAGGAAAAAUCAGUGUUCUACAGUAGAGUCUCACUGGGUAUAUAAGGCACACUUCUGAGUAGGUCCAUGGCCCCAAAGCAAACUCAAUGGUCACGGACUUCCGUGGAGCCCGCCCGACUCCGGAACAAAUUGGAAACAAAUUAUAAACUUAUCAAGAGUGCAAAAGAAUGCUAUUCAAAAUGAGAAACAUUUUAUCAAGUUGGCAUCCGGAAGGAAAGUCCCAGAAGUAAAAGGUUUAAAUUAGCCAGGCAGCCUGGAAGAACAAGCAGCCUCCUCCAACACAAAUCGGUAAGGAAAAGGAUGACAAAAGGAAGAACAAAACGAGCAAAGGGUUUGCACAAGCAAGUCACUACAAGGAAGCCCCAUGGCUACCACACAGUUGAAUAAAGACGGUUUCAAGUCUGCAAUUUUGACAAAGAAGGAGGAUGUCUAAAGAGUGGCAGACAUGUGCACAAGUGCUCUUUGUGACAAGCCUGAACAUUGGGCUUACCUGCCUAGACAAAAGAGCACUAGGCAUUGUUAGAGCUGACCAAUGACUAUGAGGUGUAAGAGGCUCACUCCCUCCUGUCACUGGUAUAGAGCCGAGACCCUGACAUGUGCUCAACACUUAAGACAACUUAAAUUUCCGUGAGCAGAAAAGCAAGUAAGGGGAUUAUAGAAUCGUUUCCAAACAACAGAGUGCUGUAUACUAGUUAAAAUAAGGAAAAUAGAUGUAUUCCAUGGAUACAUGAAAGAGAAAUCUUACAGAUGAUAUUAAGGGGGGAAGUAAAUGGCAGAAGAAUUGCAAGGCAUGCCUGGGGCAUCGCACACCUCUGAGGUUUGGUGGGAUGGGAAAGAGACAUGAGAAAAUUCUGAAUGAUGCUUCAAUGUUAUCACGUUUGUUUUAUAACCUGAAACAUGAAACAAAGAUAAUAAGCAUUGGCAAAGAUGAGGAAGACACAUACAUAAUGUAUUAUUUUAUAAAAAAUAAAACAAACUAUCCUUUUUCAUUUUACAGACCAA